rnacentral:lncRNA from 1 species
GGAAGGAUCCGGGAGAGAAGGAAAGGACCCGGCAGCGAAGGAAAAGAGCCGGCAACGAAGAAAGGGCACCUGGAGCGGAGGAAGGGAGCCGGCAGCGAACGAAGCCGGCAGCAGGACGGUCCUGCCGCGCUCUGGAGACUGAAACAAAGCUCAGGCCCGGGUCAGUAGGGAGCUCUCGGUCACAGGCACCUUUGUGUUUUCAGAGCCUGGCGGAGCUGAUAUAGACCUGGCUGACAGCUUACGGCACGCCCGGCCAGAAGAUGCUUCUCAGCUCUCUGGCAGACUGAGAGAGGGGGAAACACAGACACCACCUGCGGCCGUGGCAGCUCCUUCUCAGCCUGUGCUUUCUGACUGCCAGAGAUUUUUAGGGACUGCCUGUCUCAGAGGAUGGUCAGAGAAACAGAGAUUUCCUGUGACAGGGUGCAACACACCACCGUGGCAAGACAGUAAAACCACCCCGGUUUCAGGCUGUGUAGAUGCACAUAUAACCCUUGACACAGCCACGCCAAGUUCCUUUCUGCUGCACUGGCUGGGAAGCUGUCCGACAGAGCCACAGGUGCUCAGGCAGCUGAUGAGUGGCUGUGACCUUCCUGGAGAUGAGCAGGGCACACAGUCCUUCACAGAGAGAUUCAGCUGCGGGGAAGCUGCAGAGAAGGCUGCCCGGCACUGCUCCCCAGAAUGGGCCUCCCCCGAUUGGGGUCUCGCAGAGGAUGGGACAAUUGCAGCCACCGGGUCAUUCCUGUGAAAUUUGGAAACAUGCAGAGGGGACUGGCUGAGGGGCUCAGCCUGGGACACAGCCCCAACAGGAGCAGCCUUGGGCACACUGGCACGGGAGGAUGAGCCCAGGUGAGGAGCAUGGCCCCAGCAUGGCACCAAGAGAGGCUGGCAUGAGAGAAUAAGCCCAGGUGAGUGCUCUGACCCAGGCAGCUCUGGGGAAGGUGGCAGGAUCAGGUGGGAAGGAAAGAGACCUGAGGACGUUUUGCCAGGCUAUGGCUGAGGAGAACGUGCUGUGCUGGUGGCUUCUGGUGCUGCGGGCACUUUGGGGCUGGAAGCAGGCUGCAGCAGGGCCAGGGUCAUGGCUGUGCCCUGCCUCUGCAUUGUGCUU